rnacentral:rRNA from 1 species
GACGUAGGGAGCAAGCGUUGUCCGGAUUUACUGGGCGUAAAGAGCGCGUAGGCGGCUCGUUAAGUGUGAAGUGAAAUCUCCAGUGCUCAACACGGAAACUGCUUUACAUACUGGCGAGCUUGAGGAAAGCAGAGGUAACUGGAAUUCCCGGUGUAGCGGUGAAAUGCGCAGAUAUCGGGAAGAACACCCGUGGCGAAGGCGGUUCUCUGGGACGGUACUGACGCUGAGACGCGAAAGCGUGGGGAGCGAACAGG